ACGAACGCUGGCGGCGUGCUUAACACAUGCAAGUCGAACGGAAAGGCCCUGCUUUUGUGGGGUGCUCGAGUGGCGAACGGGUGAGUAACACGUGAGUAACCUGCCCUUGACUUUGGGAUAACUUCAGGAAACUGGGGCUAAUACCGGAUAGGAGCUCCUGCUGCCUGGUGGGGGUUGGAAAGUUUCGGCGGUUGGGGAUGGACUCGCGGCUUAUCAGCUUGUUGGUGGGGUAGUGGCUUACCAAGGCUUUGACGGGUAGCCGGCCUGAGAGGGUGACCGGCCACCUUGGGACUGAGAUACGGCCCAGACUCCUACGGGAGGCAGCAGUGGGGAAUAUUGCACAAUGGGCGGAAGCCUGAUGCAGCAACGCCGCGUGCGGGAUGACGGCCUUCGGGUUGUAAACCGCUUUCGCCUGUGACGAAGCGUGAGUGACGGUAAUGGGUAAAGAAGCACCGGCUAACUACGUG
rnacentral:rRNA from 1 species